rnacentral:lncRNA from 10 species
UGAAGUCGUGCCUUGCUUCCCAACUGUAUCUUCUGCCACGAUUGUACAUUUUCUGAGGUCUCCUCAGCCAUGUGGUACUGUGAGUCAAUUAAACCUCUUUUCUUCUUGAAUUACCCAGACUCAGGUAGUUCUUUCUAGCAAUGUGAGAACAAACUAAUAAAGAGGAUUUCACAAUUGCUUUCUGAUCACUUACAUGGGAGGAAGCCAGUUUCUAUGUUGUGAGUUGCCCUUAUGGAAAUGUCCAUGUGGCCAGAAACUGAGGAAGGCCUUUAGCCAACAGUCGGAGAGGAGCUGAGCCUCUUGGUUCAACAGAUGGUAAGAAACUGAGGCCUGCCAACAACCACAAGAAUGGGCUUGGAAGCUGAUCCUUUAGCCCCAGGUAAGCCUUGAGAUAACUGCAGCUCAAGAAGACAGGCAGCUGGAUUGCAACCUCAUGAGAGACCCUGAAGUCUUUCUUAACAUAAUUGCUGGCUUUUCUUUUUUUUUUUUUUUUUAAGAAAAACAAAGUGAAAAUAUAUAUUAAUAACUUUAAGGAAGUAUUAAUACUUUUAUUUCUUGCUCUAUAUGUCCUUUUUUUUUUU